GUGAAUCAUCAAAUCUUUGAACGCAUAUUGCACUCUCUGGUAUUCCGGAGAGUAUGCCUGUUUGAGGGUCAGUAAAAUAAAAAUCGGGGUGGUUGCCACCUUUGGUGGUGACAGUUCGGAAUUGGGUCGUCGGUACCUUUCGGUUAAGGGACUUAAAAUUUUUGAAUGAUAUCUGAAGGUAUUUAAAUUUAUUUAGUACGUCUUGUAAUAUCGAAUGUGUAUUAGAAGUGGUAAGCCUCGUGAUGCACGGCUAUAAUUUUUCAUCAAAAUGAUCU
rnacentral:misc_RNA from 1 species